rnacentral:lncRNA from 1 species
CGGAGGAGAUAAGAGAAAAGACUGAAAGCCUAGGAUUUUGUUACGCUUUCGUAUUAUCAAAAAUGAUGACAGGUGUCUGCUUGCGUAAAUGUUGUGGGUCCCAUUGCACUGCCGCAUUUUCAAGUCUAAUUUUGUCCUUGAUUUUAGAGUUAUUUACACAAAGUGAGACAAAGGUAAAAUCGUAAAACUAUAAGGGCAUAACAAACAGUUUGCCAACUCCAAUGCAGCUGUUGAUAUUCUUCAGCAGAACCAUUGCGAAUUCCCAAAAUAACCCUGAGGACGACGAAAAGCACCUCAACUCCCGCUUCUAAAUAAGUAGAAAUAGAAUAUAUAUAUAUUAUUGAGUCUUUGACAAGUCAAUAAUAACGUUCAAGUGACUCAAAUGUCGAUCUAGUAAAAUAUACUCCAAAUCGAAUAUUUUGUCCAAAACGACCUUAGAUCAACAAUUUCAAAGGCAAAGGACCAAAGAAGCAAAUCCGUCGUCCAACAUUAGUAAUGUAAACCAUAAAUCACGUCACAUACAAUAAAACAAACACCAUAUCUUUACUUUUAUUACAAGUCUUCAAAUAUUACACAUAAAGAAACAACUAACCCUACAUACACCAGCAUCACAUUUUCUCAUUUUUUUUUCCUUCAUUAAUCAAGGACAGGCGGAUCUAGGACGAGUUACUAAACAUAUUUCAACUAUAUAGAAAUACAAAAAAAGACAUUAAAAUAUAUACUCGUAUUAAUAAUAAGAUCGCGCUUAUAAUGAACGCACCUUACAUUUCUUUGAAAGAAGUAAGCUUCUUAACUUUCUCCCAAGGCUUAUCCCAAACAACAGCCAAAUAUUUAUGAACAGAACCGCCGUCCUUGGCGUUGAUAAUAAGUCGAUAAUUUGUGCCGGCAACGACUUGAGUUUCUCCUUUCGCGAUACUUUGAAAUUCCAAUUUUGUCCCUGCCGCUUUGUUUUGCUCAUUCACCGCAAACUGCCCGAUCGCCACCACAUCAGGGGCAUUUACGUCAGUUAAAGGCUUCCAACUACCUGCUGCGCCGCCCAACGCGGCGGAGAUUUGGAAGAAAAAGGAAGAAAUUAACAAGAUUGAGAGAGUCACGGAGAAAAUAGAGGUCAAUUUGAUGGUCAUUUUUUCUUUUUCUUUUUCUUUUUCUUUUUGUAUUGCGAGGAUUUUGAGAAUGAAAAUACUGAGGAAAAUGGUUAUUUUUAAAAGAGUUUAAUGGGUGCACUUAUUUAAAGGAAUUAGGUGGUAGGUACGUGGGGAACCGACAGUUGUCAUGUGACUUGAUUUCCAAUAUUUGCAGUUCACUUUCACGAAAGUUCUAAAUUCCUGUUAUGGGCAAGGGCCUGGGUUAGGUGUACGGAAGAGGUUCAGCUGUGUAUAUUAAGUUAAAACUUUCUUUUUAUAUAUAUAAUUGGAUAUUGAAUUUUUUUAAUUUAUUCAUGUAUUUACUUUCCUGUUUCUAUCAUUGGUUACUGCGCUACAAAUAAUAUUUAGUAACGGUAGUACUUGGAGCGAUCUUAAAGUCGCUACAAAUUCAUAAGUGACUAAUUAAAGCUCUUUUUUGGUUGCAAUUAGCAAUCGCUCAUAUAAAAGAUCUGAAUUCAUCAUUGUCAAAUUAAAAAUAAUGCAAUUGAAAUAUAUGUUGUUCGUUUAAAAGUUGAACAAGAUAAAAUGUCCAUACGUUGAAGACGAUUUAUGAGAUUCUUCAAAAAAGAAAAAGAAAAAGAAAAAUCCAUAACUAAUAUUGCCAACAGAAUAACCAAUACUAAACGAAACAUUAAAUUUGAGCUAUUUCAUUCUUUAAACAAUGGGUUGUAGAUGCUUAUAAUACUUAGUUGUUGCGCAAACUUUCAAAAGAAAUGAGUUUUCUAACAUUGUCCUUAGAAUUUUCAAAAACAACCGCUAAAUCCUCAUCAUCAAUAUCUUCUUCCGUGGUGGCAAUAACCAAUUGAUAAGUAAUGCCAUUAGCAACUAAUUGAAAUUUUCCCUCCAACACUUUCCUAAACUUCAAAUCAGAACCUUCUAUUUUAUCGUUGUACGCUUUUACUGCAAAAUUUGCAAUGUCUAUCACUUUAGAAUCCUUUAGAUCUUUUAUGGGUUGCCAAUCAUCUGUUGACGGGGACGGAGCUAGAGUAUUCGGUACGCGAGCUGAAACAUAGGAGAAGGUGGAAGCAACUACUACAAUUGAGAGAAUCACAAAAAGAAAAGAAUUGAAUUUGAAAGCCAUUUUUCUUUUAAGAAAAAUAAUUUGCUAGUGGAGUGCUUAACACUAAUGGUGAUAGACUUAUAUAUAGGAGAAUUUGAAAGCAAGCAUAGGCAAAAAUAGGUAAGAUGAUUAGUUUAUUACUUUAGAGGUGAUUAGAUUACGAUGUGUAUAUGAUUCGAAAUAAAUUAAUUACCUAAUUAGUCUAGGAAAAAUGAUUUGUUUCAAGUAGUGGUUUUAAAAUAAUUACAAUUUUACUACUUAAGGAAGAUUUGUUGCAAUUCUAAUAAAAAGAUUUCUAUUUCAUUUGAAUUGACAUUAUUGCAUGAAUCCUCAUUAACAUUGCAUAUUUUUUAAUUAUAAAAAGCCACCAAGGUGGCUACUUUUUUUUUUUUCAAAACGUGGAAAAAUAAGAAAUGAAAAAGUGAAUUAGAGAAUUUAAUCUAACCUCACUAGGGUAGUAGGUCGUAGAUGGAGAAAACAAACAACAACAAAAACAAAUCCAGUUUGAUCCCAUAAACGAGGUAUGUGAAGGGUAGUGUGUACACAGACCUUACCUAUACCUAACAGAGAUAAAGAGGUUGUUUCUGAUAGACCGUCGGCUCAAAAAAUAGUGAAGAUAAAAUAAUCAAGUAGCAAAGAAUAAUAGCAAUAAUGUAACAUGCGUGAAUGCUACAGUAUGUAAUAAUAAAGAAACAUAAAUAGGAAAUUACAAAAAUAGUCCUCGUACUAAUGGCCAGCCUAGGAGGAACACACUAUUAUCUGUCAACCUACAACCCUAAUCCUCGACCUCCACACCUUGCUAUCGUGGGUCAUAUCCUCGGUAUACUUAAUUAUCUCUUAUAGCGGUGGAGCCAGGAAUUUCAUUGAGGGGGGUCAAAAUAUAAAGAAAUAAACUCACCAAGAAGUCAAAGGGUGUCUUUACGUUUUUCCAUACUUAUUUGCACCUAAUAUUUAGUAAAAAUUGUAUGGGGAGCCCUAUUUGGUCGCCCCUUUUUAACCUGUACCCGCUUUAUUUUUCUGUUUGCAUCCGUACCCAUUUUUUUUUGUUAAAAACUUUUUAAAAAGACGAUUUUGCCCUUCUUUAUUAAAAGACUACUUUCUCUCCAAGUAUACGCCAUUCUACUGUCUCUGUCUCUCUUCUCCCGUUCUUCAGCACGUUUAAGCUGAAGUUUUAGCAAAUGUACUAGAAUACUUCAGCUUGUUUAUACUGAAGUUUUCGAAAAAAAGCUCAUGAAAAAGUUGUUUAAUGUAGGACAAAAUUUAAGCAUGAACUAAAUUUAACUUCAGCAUGCAGGAGAAAAUUACAUAGUGCAGGAGGAAAACUUCAGCAGGUUUGUCCUGAAGUUUUUACAAAUGAACUAAACAACUUCAGCAUCUUCUGCUGAAAUUUCUGAAAAAGCUCAUGACAAAACUAUUGAAUCCAGGACAAAAGUUCAGCAUAUUUAAUGCUAUAGUAUUAGCAAAUGAACUAAAAAACUUCAGCUUGUUUAUACUGCAAGACAAAGAUUUCAGCGUUUUGGUGUGAAGGUUUAGCAAAUUAUGUAAAAACUCAGCUAGUUAAAUUCACUAGAAAAUUACAUAGUGCAGGAGGAAAACUUCAGCAGGUUUGUCCUAAAGUUCUUACAAAUGAACUAAAUAACUUCAGCAUCUUCUGCUGAAGUUUCACAAAAAGCUCAUGACAAAACUAUUGAAUUCAGGACAAAACUUCAGCAUAUUUUAGUGCUAAAGUAUUAGCAAACGAACUAAAAAUUUUAGCUUGUUUAUACUGCAAGAUAAAGAUUUCAGCGUUUUGAUGUGAAGGUUUAGCAAAUUAUGUAAAAACUGAGCUAGUUAAAUUCACUAGGAAAUUACAUAGUGCAGGAGAAAAAUUUCAGCAGGUUUGUCCUAAAGUUCUUACAAAUGAACUAAACAACUUCAACAUCUUCUGCUGAAAUUUCCGAAAAAGCUCAUGACAAAACUAUUGAAUCCAGGACAAAACUUUAGCAUAUUUUAGUGUUGAAGUAUUAGCAAAUGAACUAAAAUUUUUUAGCUUGUUUAUACUACAAGACAAUGACUUCAGCGUUUUGGUGUGAAGAUUUAGCAAAUUAUGUAAAAACUCAGCUUGUUUAGUAUCAUGUUCUAGCAAACAAACCAAAAACAUCAGCAUGUUUGUCCUCAUGACAAAACUAUUGAAUUCCUAUGUGUCAUGCAUUUAACAGUAUCCAGAAAUAAAUUUAUUCUAUAACUUCAUACAAGUGUGAUUAGAAUAUAUGGGUUGAUUGAAUUAAAACUUCAAAAACUAAUUGGAAUUCUGAAGAUGAUUUGCAAUACUUACAAUGUAUUUUGUAAUUUUGAAUUUGGAAUUUGAAUCUGGUUCAACUUUCUGGUUUCGUGAUUAUGGCAGAUGCGAGAGAAGAUCUGAGGAGGGACGGAGUGAUGGAGGAGAACCGUAAAGUGAUUUAUGCAUGAUGCAUCUUUUAUAUGUUUUGUCAAGGGUAUAAUGAUCAUAUUAUUACGGAUGCUUUGUUAACCGGGUACCAAACCAAUAAUUUUUAAAAAUAGGACACAAAUUAAAAGGUGGCACAAAUAUAGGGUAUGACUACAAAUCUCCCCGAUAUUUACAUCAAACUAUAAUGCUUAUGUCUAUGAUUAUACUUUAGGGCCCUUCUACACACUCUCAAAGUAAAAAAAUAAAAUAUAUAUUUAGAAAAUCAAAGAUGUAAUCACGGUAAUAAGGAAUAUAGCGUGGAAAUAGAUGGUAGUUUAGGGUCCUAGUCCAUAGUCUCAAAGUAUAAACUAAAUAUUCAUUAUUCAGAGAAUCUAAAUGUGAUCACGGUAAUAGAAAAUACAGCAAUACUUGGAAAUAAAUUAGUAUUUUCAUUGUUUUCAAUAUCUAUUCAUCUUUAAUUUGUGGAUGAUCAAAAGGCGUGAUGGUUAAAAUUCAUUCACCCUUGAUUAGUGAUCAUGAGUUUGAGAUCUAAAACUGAAUUUUUUUUGUUAGAGAAUACUUUACUCCCUUAGUCCCUUUAAAGGUCGAUCAAGUUCAAAACCGAAUUAAUCAAGUCGGCAGAUCUAGCUCGAAUAUCAAAAGAUUAAAUAGAAAAAAUGACAGUUGACUUCUAUUUUUUUCUAUUCUUUUAUUCAUUUUCUCUUUUAGUUCUUAUUUUUGUGUUAAACGAGUCGUGGAUCUUAACUCGCAAGUCACUAAUCAAUUCAAGCUCUUUUUUUUUUGUUGCAACUUAGCAAUAACUUAUAUCAAAAGUUCUGAAAUUCACUACUCUCAAAAUUAAAGUAUGGCAAUCGAAACAUAUGUUGUCUCGUUUAAAAGCUGAACAAGAUAAAACGUCAACAUAUACUAUAUAUUAAGAUGAAUUAUGAAAUUCAUCCAAACAGGAAAUUAAAAAACCAUAAUUAAUAUAGCCAACAUAAUAAGUAAACAGUACACUAAAUUUGAGAUUUUAAUUCAUACAUAUACUUUUAUUAAAUAAUACGAUGUAAAUGCGUAUACAUUUAAUUUUUAAGCAAACUUUUCGAAGGAAAUGAGUGUUUUAACAUUGUCCCCAGAAUGCUCGUUGACAACAGCCAAAUAGUUAGUAGUUGUGACAUUUUGUCUUGCGGAUAUAACCAGUUUAUAGGUAAUGCCAUUAACAACUUGAAAUUGACCCCCUAACACACUCUCAAAUGUCAAAGGAAAACUAUUUGAUAUUCUGUUGUAUGCAUCUACUGCAAAUUCACCAACUUUCACCACUUUAGGGUCCUUUGCAUCUUUUAUUGGCUGCCAAUCACCAAAUAACUGGGACAGAGCUGGAGUAUUCGAUACAAGAUCGGAUGAAUCCAAUAACUUUCGACCGUCAUUUGCCGCAGAAACAUGGCAAAAGAUGGAAGCAAUGACUACAAUUGAAAGAGUCAUAAGAAGGAAAGAAUUGAUUUUGAAAGCCAUUUUUCUUUUGAGAAGAAUUUGUUAUUGGUGUACUUUACACUAACUGGUGUGUGAUAUAUUUAUAGGAGAAUUUAAAAUAUAGUCUGGUAAAAAACAUAGGUAAGUUUUGGUAAUUAGAUGAUAAGUUGAUUACUUUAGAGGUAGGUAUAUGAUUCACAAUAAAUUAUCUGCCUAAGUAAUCGAGGGAAAAAAAGGAAUUAUUUUUAAAUAAUACAUACAUGUGAUUUGGAUAUAAUUACAAUUUUACUCAUUAAGGAAGAUCUGCUGCAAUUGUAAUAAUUAUUUUUCUAUUUCAUUUGAAUUGACAUUAUUGCAUGAAUCUGUUUAACCAAAAAUAAAUUUUUCGGCCAAAGUCAAUAUAUUGAAGAAAACGGGUUACUGAUAACCAAGUUUUACUUCACUUUUUUAAUAAUCUUAAGAGAAAUAAAAAAAAAUGAUGGAAAUAAUUAACAAAGAAAAGUUUGGAACGAAUUGGCAAACACUUCCCAAAAUCAAGGCCGGAAAUUUAGAGAGUAAGCAAAGAAUUAUAGUAUGAAUUUCAGUAAUAAUCGUCACUUGUUUUUACAAAUGAAAUUCCCAUCCUUAUAUAGGAGCAUACAAUCGCAACGGCUAUCAUACUUAAUUUGGACUAAUUAAGGGCAUUAACUGUAUUGAUUGCCCAUUACCAUAAAUAACCGUAACUGUAUAUUUAUGACUAAAGAUUCCUUAUAACCGCUCCCGAUUUCUCUUCCUUAUUUAUUUCUGGUUCGUGGAUCUUCACUUCUUUGCAGUCUUCAUUCUUUCUGUUCCUGUUUUUCCUUUGACAACUGUCAGGCUCAGUUCUUUUCUCUUUGUUAUCCCGUGGGUGUUUCUCCCGUACCUUCCGCGCAUCCUUAGUUCGGUUAAUUGAGAAUUCCACUUGUCGCUAUUUAGACCCUUCAUUUGUCAUGCCUCGUCAGCUUAAUGUCGUUUCACGUGUCGUGACUUUUUUCACCAAUACAGAUAGUCCCCCCCACUUUCUGAAUAUUCUCAAUUGAAUAUCGAGAAGUGGUAAGUUUUUAUGGCAGGAAUUCCUUGUCGCCACUUCUCGAGCAUCAUCAUGCCUUUCUCAUAAUCGAUGUGUCGCUUGCCACAUCUAUAUAUUGCCCACGCCACAUGGCCUCUUAUGAUUGGUUCUGCAGUUUCUCAGUGCCUUUUAGGGUUCUUUCCCUAUGGCUGUGCGAGUCACGAAGUGAUGGUUCCAUUAAGACGCUUCAUAAUGACAAAUUUUAACGAUAGUCGUAUCUUCUUAUAAAUACUUCGUUCUUUUUGAUUUUUUGGAGUUUUCCUUCUUCAUCAUCCAUUACAUUACUCUUUUUUUGUAUUUCUGCAUCCUUUUCCUCUGUAUUUCCUUGGAUAAUCAUGUCUUUGACAACGUCAAAUCCUCGCAAAUUUAUGAUUGUUGAUGAACUGCCCCCUUCUACUGCCCCUACUAGAAGUAGGAGAGGUGGUAGACUCCGUAGUCUCGGUUCACUAUCUAACUGUGGUUCCUCUUUCUCAAAGUAGUUCUGCUAGGCCAUCUUCUUCUAAACCUAGGGCUCCUUUAACCCCCAGAUCUUCUUCUAGGAAUAAGGAUUUAAAUAAACCUGUGCGUGAACCUAUAGUUACAGAAAUUGUUCCCCAAGAAUUUUCUUUUGUAACUGACCGUGAAACCAUGAGAAAUCAAGUUUCUUUUAUAGCUUCUCUCAAUCUUGCUGAACUUUAUCCAAGUUUGAUCACUACCGGUCUUCUUUCUUUGGUUCGACGAGAGUGCCAUUGGAAAUCGAAUUUCCCAGUUUUAGUCCCUGGUGCCAAUCAGAGAAUCACCUCUUAUCAUGCUGAUUACUCUUUUGUUUAUACCUACCCUUUUACUUUGGGGUUUAAGCCUCCUAUUGAUUUAGUAAUUAUUGAGUUUUGUUAUUACUUCAACGUGUGUCUUGGUUAGAUUGGCCCCAUUGUAUGGAGGAUCGUUGCUUGCCUACGUUAUUUGUUGGAGCUGGUUUCCGUCCCUUUUACCUUUCGGCACUUGCUUCACCUUUACUCCCCCAAGAUAUUUCGUGAAGGGGUCUUUUCUCUCGUGGCUAAAAGUAAGAGGGUGCUGGUUAGAUCUGAAGAUGAUCGAGACCGUGGCUGGUUUUCCCGUUUCAUUGUUGCUUCCACUAGUGGAGUAGUGGGUGAAGAGAACAUGCCUUUUUCAGAAAAAUAGAAUUUUGCACGUAAGUUUUCUUCUUCUUUUUCUUUUUCUAUAUACCUUGCAUAAUUUCUUGUAAUCACAUACCCGUUUUGCAGCAACCAUGGAAGUUUUUGAUGAGAUUACCGACUUCCGUGAUUGGGUAGAAUAAAUGUUAACUGCUUCCCUUAUGGACAAAAGAUCUUGGAAAUUCCUUUCUCAAAAAUUUGGUUGGAAAGUAAAGACACAUGGUACGUUUUACCUUCAUAGUUCUUCUUUUUCUUAUAUUUGUUUAUACAAGAAUUUAUCAUCCUUCCAUUUCCUUUUUGUUAGGAUUUGGUAUUCGUGGUAUUAGUCCGCAUAUGUUUAAAUCAACCAGACUUUACGUGAGUCUUGCUCAGGAACGGAUUCUGAGUGCUUUUUCCUCCAAAAGGAAAACUGACAAAGCUUAUGGCUCUAACGAUGAAGAAGAAACAAAGGAAUGGUCUUUGGUGUGAAAGCCAAGCGUCAGGAGACGCGCAGUUUCUGAUGAUGAGGCACCCCCUCUCAUGACCUUCCCUCCAUUGCAAUUCCUUUCAGACUCAUAGAUGAGCCAGAGAACGUUCCUUUAGUGAUUUCUGAUGAAAUGUUGUUGACCCCCCACCAAGUUCCGUUGAUAGAUUGUUUGCUCAAGGCUUUGAGGGUGAAGAAUAU